CAGAUUGUUUCCACUUGUUCCCCAUUACCUUGGUGUGUUAAGCCUCGCCAGGUCUUUUGUUGGACUUUGCCUGCCAGAACCCUGCAGUGCUUUUGUUAUUCAUCUCCAGAAGUGAUGGACGGACAAUGAACUCGGCAGCUAAAAAUCACCCGAUAACUCAAGCCGUGUUCCCUAAAGAGGACGAUGAAUCCACGGCGUACGUCCACCGUGAAAAGUAAUCAUAGACCUCUGGCUCACCUCGACGUGCUUCAUCCCUCACACACUUUCAGCUGCUGUUUUGUUCUUCAUUCAUGUCGGACUUCCUUCCCAGCUAUUUGAGUGACAGCGUGGUGUUCGUUCCUGAUUAUGAAAUGCAGACGGAGUGUGCCAGAGGGAGAGCACCAGCAGCAGCACCAGCCAUCAGCCGGGACACUCACGUUGCUCCUAUGAUGUGUUUGCCUUGAGCUGAGCUGACUCAAACAGCGCCGGGUGAGUUAAGCAGAGCCUCUACAACGUGACGAAAAAGUAAUGGCUAAAUCCUAAAUGGUAAGUAACUGAACUCACUAGUGAUAAUCCAAGUGGCAGGAGUUCCACAAUGUGAGUGCAGAGAGACCCAACUUCCUGUUUGCUUUGGGCUUAUUGACUUUAGGAUCCUGCAAACAAUCCCGCUUUUUCUUCUAUCUCUAAACUUUUUAAUUUAGAGAAAUUGCAACAAAGCAACCCAAUCGAAUCUAGCGAGCCACUUUUAAAUCACCUGUAUUCAUCAUUUCUGUGGUGAGGUUGCCAGGAAACUCUGAUAUACACCAUCCCAUUAGCAGGUUAUGCAAGUUUGUGGAAUGUGCACACCUCCCUUAAAUGCUUCCCUUCAUUUUCCCCCUUUGAUGCGUCAACUGCUGAAAUAAGCUCCGUCGAUACUGCGUGAUGACUUUGGCUGUGAAGGAUAAUUGAUUGGCCGGGAUUAUCCCCCUCCAAGUCAUCUGCUGAUGGAGCUGAGACCGACAAGGUGAAGCGGUUCAACCAGAGAGCGUUCACCUCUAAUUCAACGUCACAGCGAAUGUCUCCGGUAAUGAUUGUAACUAAAUGUAAAAGAAAAAUAAUCAUAUAUUUUUUAAAUACAAUGCUUUUGUUCAAAUUAUCAGUGUAUAAACCUAGCUUGCAAGUAGUCACCAGUAUGUUUUUUCUGAAAAUAGAAAGCACUUUUCUUGCUCCACAUUAUUAAUUAUUAGGUAUCGGCACACUAGCUUUGCUUUUUCUCUUCUCUUUUCGAAACAAAAACAUCGUUCUCUAGCAAAGAGUACAUGUGCAAAAUGGCAGGAAAUGCAUUUCCUGCUACCUAUUUUUAUACUUUUAUAUAUGUUUUUAAAAUUGCACCUCUAUGAGAAGAGCUCAGAUAGAAACGAGAAGAACUCAAGAAUGUCUUUUUGCAGCAUCAAAAAAACUAGAUUUCUUUGCUGAUGUAUUUUACCAACUUGGAAAAACAAACUUGCAUUAGCAUGUGCAGGAUUUUUCUAAGCAUUCUCAGGUGUUAGAAAUAGUGGGGGAAAAAAUGGUAAGUCAACAUGAUUUAGAUGUCUUACCGCUUCACUUUUAAAAUCCUCUACAAACUCAGACCAUUUCACACUAGAGAGACGUUUCACCAUGCUGACUGUAUCUUACAAUAAUUUGCUCCUCUGUGUAUUGUUUAAGAACAAAGUGUGUUUUAUUUUGCUCUCAGUUUUUCUAAUUAUUUUCAGUACUUGUCUCCUCUCUGUUCUGUAUAAACAAUAAACAA